GAUGAACGCUGGCGGCGUGCCUAAUACAUGCAAGUCGAGCGAAUGGAUUAAGAGCUUGCUCUUAUGAAGUUAGCGGCGGACGGGUGAGUAACACGUGGGUAACCUGCCCAUAAGACUGGGAUAACUCCGGGAAACCGGGGCUAAUACCGGAUAACAUUUUGAACCGCAUGGUUCGAAAUUGAAAGGCGGCUUCGGCUGUCACUUAUGGAUGGACCCGCGUCGCAUUAGCUCGUUGGUGAGGUAGCGGCUCACCAAGGCAACGAUGCGUAGCCGACCUGAGAGGGUGAUCGGCCACACUGGGACUGAGACACGGCCCAGACUCCUACGGGAGGCAGCAGUAGGGAAUCUUCCGCAAUGGACGAAAGUCUGACGGAGCAACGCCGCGUGAGUGAUGAAGGCUUUCGGGUCGUAAAACUCUGUUGUUAGGGAAGAACAAGUGCUAGUUGACUAAGCUGGCACCUUGACGGUACCUAACCAGAAAGCCACGGCUAACUACGUGCCAGCAGCCGCGGUAA
rnacentral:rRNA from 1 species